rnacentral:rRNA from 1 species
GAUCAUGGCUCAGGAUGAACGCUAGCUACAGGCUUAACACAUGCAAGUCGAGGGGCAUCAGGAAGAAAGCUUGCUUUCUUUGCUGGCGACCGGCGCACGGGUGAGUAACACGUAUCCAACCUGCCCUUUACUCGGGGAUAGCCUUUCGAAAGAAAGAUUAAUACCCGAUGGCAUAAUGAUUCCGCAUGGUUUCAUUAUUAAAGGAUUCCGGUAAAGGAAUGGAGGAUGAGUUCCAGUUACGGUUGUUGG